AUUGAACGCUGGCGGCAGGCUUAACACAUGCAAGUCGAGCGAGCGGCGGACGGGUGAGUAAUGUCUGGGAAACUGCCUGAUGGAGGGGGAUAACUACUGGAAACGGUAGCUAAUACCGCAUACCAUCAGAUGUACCCAUAUGGGAUUAGCUAGUAGGUGGGGUAAAGGCUCACCUAGGCGACGAUCUCUAGCUGGUCUGAGAGGAGGACCAGGCACACUGGGACUGAGACACGGUCCAGACUCCUACGGGAGGCAGCAGUGGGGAAUAUUGCACAAUGGGCGCAAGCCUGAUGCAGCCAUGCCGCGGGUGUGAAGAAGGCCUUCGGGUUGUAAAGCACUUUCAGCGGGGAGGCGUUACUCGCAGAAGAAGCACCGGCUAACUCCGUGCCAGCAGCCGCGGUAAUUC
rnacentral:rRNA from 1 species